UAAUGAUGAUGGGGACAACUUAGCUAUAACAUUUUAAACCUCUCUUAUACUUGACGCAAGCCUUCACCUUCCUUCUAAUUGAAUUCUAAUAUCUAACUUCUCAAUUU